AUCCUGGCUCAGGGACGAACGCUGGCGGCGUGCCUAAUACAUGCAAGUCGAGCGGACAGAUGGGAGCUUGCUCCCUGAUGUUAGCGGCGGACGGGUGAGUAACACGUGGGUAACCUGCCUGUAAGACUGGGAUAACUCCGGGAAACCGGGGCUAAUACCGGAUGGUUGUUUGAACCGCAUGGUUCAAACAUAAAAGGUGGCUUCGGCUACCACUUACAGAUGGACCCGCGGCGCAUUAGCUAGUUGGUGAGGUAACGGCUCACCAAGGCAACGAUGCGUAGCCGACCUGAGAGGGUGAUCGGCCACACUGGGACUGAGACACGGCCCAGACUCCUACGGGAGGCAGCAGUAGGGAAUCUUCCGCAAUGGACGAAAGUCUGACGGAGCAACGCCGCGUGAGUGAUGAAGGUUUUCGGAUCGUAAAGCUCUGUUGUUAGGGAAGAACAAGUACCGUUCGAAUAGGGCGGUACCUUGACG
rnacentral:rRNA from 1 species